ACCAAUCAAAAACUUAUAAUCGGAAUAUGAAAAAAUUUCAAAAUGUCAAGAAAAAUAUUAAUUAUUUUAUAAAUAUUAGUGAUUAAAUUGCAAUUUUUUUAUAAUUUAGAUGAAUUAAAUAAAAUUUUCAAAAAAUUAAGUAUCCAAAAAUAAAAAUAUUUUUUUUAAAUAUUCAUAAUGUCAUGUGAAUAGAUCUGAUAAUGGGCCGGGCCACCUGACUAAGCCUAAAGGCCCAUCCAAAAAGAAGGAGGGUUUGAGCAAAAAUAUACGUCUAAAAAAAUGGAGUUGGGCAAAAAAUGAGGCCUGUUUUCAAAACGGGUUACCCCUCGGGUAAGGUUUUUUUGGCUCGAGCUAAGCUUAACAAGUCUACCCUAUACCCGUUCUUUUCUUUUUGUGAUUUCCUCAGCCAACCCUCCCCCAAAUUUUUAUUUCUAAUCCCUAACAGUAACAACUCUAAAUCCAUUCUCCACUCCACCACCCACCGACCACCACCAUCAUCGUUCACCACUCCGGUCACCACCGGUCCACCACACACCCACUAGUCCGUCAUCGUUCACCACUGUUGCAGCAAAACUGAGAACCCAAAGACGAUUCUGUAUACAGAAGAUUAGGUCCUUGGGGUCCAAAAAUUGUACGCAAGUAUAGGACCAAUUGGGAAAGAAAGUUCUAUAAGGUAAAGGUUGGUUUUAUUCCUUUCAUUUAAGUUAACGUGAUGUUUUUCACUUCUUUACAAUACCAUAAUCUAGUUGGAAUGAAACAAGUUGUUGCUUUUCAGAUGAAAAAGUUGAACUGGGCAAUCUGAAUUUUCAUUUCUUGUUGUUAUUCUUCCUAAUUCACUUGUAUAUUCAUGAUUUUUUUAAUUCAAUUAAUUGCACAUAUAUCAUCCUCCAAUAUUUGACCAACCUUGGUUAUUCUUAUUUUCAAAAA